GCCUUUGUGUGUUCCUGGCAGAAGGGUGCAACCAGAGCAGCUGAGGCCUGUGCUUGAAGGAGAACUGAUUCACCAGAAACAUCUGCUGCCAUGGCCCUUCUUUCCAAGCAGCUGUGCCUCGUGGGGUGUCCCACAUUCAGGAAUUCAGAUUAGGAAGAGGUAAAGGAAGGUUAAACAGGUUAUUCCAGGUGGAGAAGCAGACUGGACUCACUCCAGCUGGUUCUUACCUCCAGGAAAUGCAUUGUGCAACACAGGAUCCUGCACUCUGGAUGAGACCUCCUGGAUACAAAACAAAAACACCUGGUAGAGCACCACCUUUUCCAGCUGAAUGGUGAGUUGUUCUGCUCAGAAAUGAUAGAAAAGGGCUGCUUUUAU
rnacentral:lncRNA from 1 species